UUCCCUCGACUGUCCCCCGGAUCUGUGUCUUGCUUCAACAGUGUUUGGACGGAACAGACCCAGGGACGCCCCUUCUUCCAGCCUCCGACCACCCUCCAACCUCUUCUCCAGUCUCAACCUUCGGAACCAACUCAGCAGAUCGGAAGAGCACA